GAUGAACGCUGGCGGCGUGCCUAAUACAUGCAAGUAGAACGCUGAAGGAAGGAGCUUGCUCUUUCCGGAUGAGUUGCGAACGGGUGAGUAACGCGUAGGUAACCUGCCUGGUAGCGGGGGAUAACUAUUGGAAACGAUAGCUAAUACCGCAUAACAGUAGAUGUUGCAUGAUAUCUACUUAAAAGGUGCAAUUGCACCACUACCAGAUGGACCUGCGUUGUAUUAGCUAGUUGGUGAGGUAACGGCUCACCAAGGCGACGAUACAUAGCCGACCUGAGAGGGUGAUCGGCCACACUGGGACUGGGACACGGCCCAGACUCCUACGGGAGGCAGCAGUAGGGAAUCUUCGGCAAUGGACGGAAGUCUGACCGAGCAACGCCGCGUGAGUGAAGAAGGUUUUCGGAUCGUAAAGCUCUGUUGUAAGAGAAGAACGAGUGUGAGAGUGGAAAGUUCACACUGUGACGGUAUCUUACAAGAAAGGGACGGCUAACUACGUG
rnacentral:rRNA from 1 species